GCACACGGCACUAUCCAAUCGUACGUGUGGGGGGUGCGUAGGUUUUGUCGUCGGAAGUGACGAUUUGGAAGUGGUGUGUGUGCCCGGGCGUUGGUGUUGCCAGUCGUACACGUGGAUCGAUAUGGAUCUGAGGAAUUACUGACGCGUAGCAGAGGGAGAAGAGUUCACGCGACAAAGGAGUCAGGUGCUACAGGAGCCUAGAGGAGAGAGAAUUCGCCUGGAAAAAAUACCAUCCUGUUCAAAUCGAAUCCCUUUGAUUCUCCAUCUUCUUCCUUCAGGCCGAGGGGCAGAGUGCCAUGGUCCCGGUGACCAUGACUCCGCCAAUGGUGCCACCGGCGAGCCUCUUUGGAGGUAUGGACCAUGGUCCUAGCACGCACACCGCAUCCACCCUCCACUACCGCAAACCUUCAAAGGGCCUGGCGUCGACGGCGCAGCAGCCAAUGGCACCUUUGGCGGUGUUCUCCCCGACGAUGUCGCUGCAGGGAAGCCUCUCUGAAGCCAUGGCUGGGCGAUGCUGCGGGGAUGUGUGGAGACGACACACGAGGCGAUGAACGCCGUGGUGGGGCUCGCCGGCACGGCCAUCAUCCUCUACGCGUGUUGUAUAGGGAGGUUGACCAAUGCCUCCUCGUCCCCUGGUCAGCAACCGAUUCUCCCUCCCCUCCUCAUGAUUCAACAGAUCUCAGUGUUGCUUUUUGUUUCUGAUUGUUGAGGAUACCACCAUGUAAUAAAAAGAGGUUCUUUGAAUACCUGCCACAUGUAAUUAAGAUAAAUUCAAUAGUCAUGUAGGAUUGUAGGUUCGUCUGCAUAAUUCUCAAUCGGGAAUCUUUCUGUGCAUUCUGACUUGUUCUGGGCAUAUUGCUGCUGAAACUGCAAAUGGUCAACUCGUAUAUGAGAUGCCACAAAGAAAUAUGGUAUAAUUGAAUUGAGAGUGCAUAUGUUGCUAGUUUUCUGAUGUUAAGGGUAGUGUAGCCCGUUCAUGAUAUUGGGUCUGUUUUCUUUAACCCUAUAUAUCAUACAUGAUCAUUGCAUUUGCGCUUAUCAUGCUAGAAGGUGCAAUUAGCCAAUUACUAUGGAUAUGUUUCUGAAUACCAACUGGGAAGAGGCAAGGAACACAUUAGCCCUGAAUUGUGACACUUUUAAGUUUUUACCUUUUAUAUGUUUUUUAAUGAUUUAAAAACCUUUAGCAGUCUCCCCUUAAUCCAUUAGGCAUGUUUGAUGAAUUUAAUGACUUUGUGAGAUUAAAUUUUGAGAAAUGUGAAUGGGUUGGCCUCGAUUGGUGGCUGCUCAUCAGGUGAGAUUCUCCCGCAUCCCCUCUCCAUUGGAACUGAACCUUCAUCAUUAUAUGAUUCUAACAUGCAUAUCUAGAAGUUCUUCUAAAUGGAGUAUAAGCACUUGUCUCUCAGCACCCUGUUACAGGUUUUGUGAUUAUGCCCUUUUUGAAUGGAAUGUAUACAACCAAAAUGUGCCCCUUACAUAUCCGUUGUUAAGAAUGUUUCAAAAAACAACAGAACAUGACUGCUAAAAUAAUCUUACAAUACUGACAUUCUUUGUAAUUAAUUUUAUAAAUGAAAUCAGGGGUUGGCGUGCUGUUUUAAGAAAAGAAAUAAAUGUUUGACUUCUGCUGCUUCUAUUUGAGUAGCUGUAGUUGUAUGCCCUAAAGAAAAAUAGUUUUAUGCUUUAUGGAUCCUCUGUAAACACAUCGAAUUAUUUUCAGGUGUUAUCAAUCUUAGGGUAGUACCGAGAACCCUUUGGCCUGACAAUGGAGAUUGGCUGUGAGAGUGAUGAUGCACUGUGCAUGUAAGGCUGCCUCUCCUCACAAACCUGUCCCAACAUAGUCGAGAUUAUGUUGAACCUAACAAAUCUUGUUCAGUGAUGGGUAAACUAUUAAUGAUUUACCGAUCUCAUAUGAUGGACCCUUAAGAAAGAGUUUUCUCUAGGAGUUACAGUCAGAUGAUAAAAUUAUCUUUUGUUGUUGUUUUGGGGAGAUGAUUCUGAUGGGGGAGCAGCAGCAGUAGAUUAGUCGUGAAUUGCAUAGUCAAUGUCUCAACUGAUACAGUUGAGAUCCAUGUAGAUGCAUUACAUUCUUUUUAUUCUGAUAAUUUAAGUGCUUAAUUACCAUCAUCUGUAACUUUUGUCAUCCAAUCACUGGAGUUACCAUUCUAGCCAAAUCAAAAGUUUUGUGCCA